GCAAGUCGAGCGGGCGUAGCAAUACGUCAGCGGCAGACGGGUGAGUAACGCGUGGGAACGUACCUUUUGGUUCGGAACAACACAGGGAAACUUGUGCUAAUACCGGAUAAGCCCUUACGGGGAAAGAUUUAUCGCCGAAAGAUCGGCCCGCGUCUGAUUAGCUAGUUGGUAGGGUAACGGCCUACCAAGGCGACGAUCAGUAGCUGGUCUGAGAGGAUGAUCAGCCACAUUGGGACUGAGACACGGCCCAAACUCCUACGGGAGGCAGCAGUGGGGAAUAUUGGACAAUGGGGGCAACCCUGAUCCAGCCAUGCCGCGUGAGUGAUGAAGGCCCUAGGGUUGUAAAGCUCUUUUGUGCGGGAAGAUAAUGACGGUACCGCAAGAAUAAGCCCCGGCUAACUUCGUGCCAGCAGCCGCGGUAAUACGAAGGGGGCUAGCGUUGCUCGGAAUCACUGGGCGUAAAGGGUGCGUAGGCGGGUCUUUAAGUCAGGGGUGAAAUCCUGGAGCUCAACUCCAGAACUGCCUUUGAUACUGAAGAUCUUGAGUUCGGGAGAGGUGAGUGGAACUGCGAGUGUAGAGGUGAAAUUCGUAGAUAUUCGCAAGAACACCAGUGGCGAAGGCGGCUCA
rnacentral:rRNA from 1 species